rnacentral:rRNA from 1 species
UACGAAGGGGGGCUAGCGUUGUUCGGAAUCACUGGGCGUAAAGCGCGCGUAGGCGGGUCGUUAAGUCAGGGGGUGAAAUCCCGAGGCUCAACCUCGGAACUGCCUUUGAUACUGGCGACCUGGAGUCCGGGAGAGGUGAGUGGAACUCCUAGUGUAGAGGUGAAAUGCGCAGAUAUCAGGAAGAACACCCGUGGCGAAGGCGGCUCUCUGGAACGCAACUGACGCUGAGACGCGAAAGCGUGGGGAGCAAACAGG